rnacentral:rRNA from 1 species
GCAAGCCUGACGGAGCAAUGCCGCGUGAAGGAAGAAGGCCCGUGGGUUGUAAACUUCUUUUCUUAGAGAAGAAUCCGAGAGGAGGACGGUAUUUGAGGAAUAAGCAUCGGCUAACCCUGUGCCAGCAGCCGCGGUAAUACAGAGGAUGCAAGCGUUAUCCGGAAUGAUUGGGCGUAAAGGGUCUGUAGGUGGUUUUGACAGUCUGCUGUUAAAUCUCAGGGCUCAACCCUGUUAAGGCAGCAGAAACUACAAAUCUUGAGUACGGUAGGGGCAGAGGGAAUUCCCGGUGGAGUGGUGAAAUACGUAGAUCUCGGGAAGAACACCAAAGGCGAAAGCACUCUGCUGGGCCGAGACUGACACUGAGGGACGAAAGCUAG